rnacentral:rRNA from 1 species
CGGCUACCUUGUUACGACUUAGCCCCAGUCGCUGGUUUUACCUUAGGCGGCUGCGUCCUUACGGUUCGCGCACCGACUUCGGGUACCCCCAGUUUCCAUGGCUUGACGGGCGGUGUGUACAAGGCCCGGGAACGUAUUCACCGCGGCGUGCUGAUCCGCGAUUACUAGCAAUUCCAGCUUCAUAGGGUCGAGUUGCAGACCCCAAUCCGAACUGAGACCACUUUUUUGGGAUUGGCUCCGGCUUGCGCCUUGGCAACCCUUUGUAGUGGUCAUUGUAGCACGUGUGUGGCCCUGGGUGUAAGGGCCAUGAGGACUUGACGUCAUCCCCACCUUCCUCACUACUUGCGUAGGCAGUCCACUUAGAGUGCCCAGCAUUACCUGAUGGCAACUAAGUGCAGGGGUUGCGCUCGUUGCAGGACUUAACCUAACACCUCACGGCACGAGCUGACGACAGCCAUGCAGCACCUGUACAAGUGCGUAUUGCUACGAGAGCGACUUUCAUCGCCUGUCACUUGCCUUUCAAACCCAGGUAAGGUUCUUCGCGUUGCAUCGAAUUGAACCACAUGCUCCACUGCUUGUGCGGGCCCCCGUCAAUUCCUUUGAGUUUCAACCUUGCGAUCGUACUCCCCAGGUGAGAUGUUUAACGCGUUAGCUCAGACACCAAUCCUUACGGACUAACAUCGAACAUCCAUCGUUUAAGGCGUGGACUACCAGGGUAUCUAAUCCUGUUUGAUCCCCACGCUUUCGUCC